rnacentral:rRNA from 1 species
GCUUGUCUCAAAGAUUAAGCCAUGCAUGUCUAAGUAUAAACAAAUCUAUACUGUGAAACUGCGAAUGGCUCAUUAUAUCAGUUAUAGUUUAUUUGAUGGUUCUUGCUACUUGGAUAACCGUAGUAAUUCUAGAGCUAAUACAUGCAUCAAACCCCGACUCACGAAGGGGUGUAUUUAUUAGAUGGAAACCAAUGCGGGGCAACCCGGAUUAUGGUGAUUCAUAAUAACUUUGCGAAUCGCAUGGCCUUGUGCCGGCGAUGAAUCAUUCAAAUUUCUGCCCUAUCAACUUUCGAUGGUAAGGUAUUGGCUUACCAUGGUUGCAACGGGUAACGGAGAAUUAGGGUUCGAUUCCGGAGAGGGCGCCUGAGAAAUGGCGACCACAUCCAAGGAAGGCAGCAGG